rnacentral:lncRNA from 1 species
AUUUUCUCAAGCUUCACACAAUGUGACAGUCAGUUGACUUCCGGUUGCCUGAAAGAUGUAGUAUUCUCAGCUCCAGCACCACAUGCUGUCCCCAUCAUGAUGAUAAUGGACUGAAUCUCUGAAACUUGUAAACUGAGACGAGUAUCAAUCUGGAGAAAGUAAACUCAAGAGCAGGAGAGAUGGCUCAGUGGGUGAAGGUGUUUGCUGGUGACCAAGAGUGGAGCCCCUGGAAUCCAUGCAGUGGAAGGAGAAAACCAGCUCUGACCUCCACAAUGGUUGCUGCUGCAAGGCCGUACACUCUCCCAGCUAAGUGCAGCCACCUGUGUGACCUCAGCCCUGCUGCUGCCAUCUUGCCUGACCAGCCACCGCCAAAAGUUACGCAGAAUAGCUGAACGCCUUUGCCACCUUCUGGUCAAAGAUAAUUACUGCAUCUGGAGUAGAAACCACCAGAUUUUAUUUAUUUAUUAUAUAUGCAGUCUUCUGCCUGCACGCCAGCAGAGGGUACCAGAUCUCAUUCAAGGUGGUUGUGAGCCACCAUGUGGUUGCCAGGAAUUGAACUCAGGACCUCUGGAAGAACAGUCAGUGCUCUUAACCACUGAGCCAUCUCUCCAGCCCCAAACACUAAACUUUUGUAAUGCCCAUGAGAAAGGACAAACAGCUGUGGAAAGACACUGGACUAAGGAAAAAACUACUGAACUGAAUCAGCUGGUAUACUUCAAAGAUGUACUAACCUCUGUAUGGAAACCAGGACAUGUGUUACAAUGGGGUAGGGGUUUUGCUUUGGUUUCCACAGGAGAAGAAAAACUUUGGAUACCAUCAAUUUGAUCAAGAUUUGAGUUGAAAAGGAAAAACCUCUCGACGAGGAGAAAUGACAGGUAUUCUACUAAGGUAUGUCUUAUAAACUAAAUAGAAACCUCCCAAAGGAAAGGGAAGUAUUUUGCUUUUAUCUUCACAGCAAAACUCAUCUCCAGAAAGCAAAGGACACUGCAUGGGUAGAUGCUUAAGAAGAAAAGGUGGCUAUAACCUUCAAACAAAAGGAAUAUGCCAUAUGGUUAACUUUAUAGCUGUCUCUCAGAGAACUCUAUUUCUCUUUAUUUCCUAGUCCCUAUUCAAUUAAACCAAUGCUAGCGUUAGAGGUGGAUUUGGCUUUCCAACAAGUAUGUUAUUUAACUAAAUGUCAGAGCCACUGUAUUGUAUCAAGAAGCCAAUUGAUGUAAUACAGAAUGAGAGAAAAGUUGGGGACUGUCUUUGUCUUUUCUUGGCUCUUUCUCUCAAGGUGUACAUCCUCUCAUAAUUGUUAUGCUCCCAUGGUUGCAUUCCCCAGCAUGUGUACAUACACAAGCAAACAUUUCUCCACUAACAUUUAUGUUUGAG